AUUUGUUGUGGACAUAUAAAAUGUAUGUGAGUGUCAAUACCACCGGCUGUUACAAUAAGUCCUUCUCCUGCUAUGGCUUCUGUUGACGCACCUACAAUCAUAUUAGGAUUAAUAUUAUCCAUUACAUCAGGAUUUCCAGCUUUACCAAUUCCUUUUAUAAAUCCAUCUUUAAUUCCUAUAUCAGCUUUAUAUAUACCUGUAUAAUCAAGAAUGAGUGCAUUUGUUAUUACUAAAUCAAGUGCACCUUCUUCGCUAGAUGUUUUUACACAUUGACCCAUACCAUCACG
rnacentral:sRNA from 1 species